AGAGUUUGAUCAUGGCUCAGGAUGAACGCUAGCUACAGGCUUAACACAUGCAAGUCGAGGGGCAGCAUGUUGGUUGCUUGCAACCAAUGAUGGCGACCGGCGCACGGGUGAGUAACGCGUAUCCAACCUACCCUUGUCCAUCGGAUAACCCGUCGAAAGGCGGCCUAACACGAUAUGCGGUUCUCAGCAGGCAUCUAACGAGAACGAAAUGUGAAGGAGAAGGAUGGGGAUGCGUCUGAUUAGCUUGUUGGCGGGGUAACGGCCCACCAAGGCGACGAUCAGUAGGGGUUCUGAGAGGAAGGUCCCCCANAUUGGAACUGAGACACGGUCCAAACUCUACGGGAGGCA
rnacentral:rRNA from 1 species